rnacentral:rRNA from 1 species
CACGUAGGGCGCAAGCGUUGUCCGGAAUUAUUGGGCGUAAAAAGCUCGUAGGCGGUCUGUUGCGUCCGCUGUGAAAACUCGGGGCUUAACCCCGAGCCUGCAGUGGAUACGGGCAGACUAGAGGUAGGUAGGGGAGAAUGGAAUUCCCGGUGUAGCGGUGAAAUGCGCAGAUAUCGGGAGGAACACCGGUGGCGAAGGCGGCCUUCUGGACAGUGACUGACGCUGAGACGCGAAAGCGUGGGGAGCAAACAGG